rnacentral:rRNA from 1 species
CAGCCGCCGCGGGAAUACCGAGGGUGCGAGCGUUAAUCGGAUUUACUGGGCGUAAAGCGUGCGUAGGCGGCUUUUUAAGUCGGAUGUGAAAUCCCUGAGCUUAACUUAGGAAUUGCAUUCGAUACUGGGAAGCUAGAGUAUGGGAGAGGAUGGUAGAAUUCCAGGUGUAGCGGUGAAAUGCGUAGAGAUCUGGAGGAAUACCGAUGGCGAAGGCAGCCAUCUGGCCUAAUACUGACGCUGAGGUACGAAAGCAUGGGGAGCAAACAGGAUUAGAUACCCGCGUAGUCCCUGUCUCUUAUAC